rnacentral:tRNA from 1 species
AAGAGAAGACGAACUAAUAGAAACUGCUAAUCAACUAUAAUUGAGGUUAAACUCCACAAUUCUCUUA